GUGCUUGCUUUGGCAACAUAUAUACUAAAAUUGGAGUGGUACAGAGAAGAUUAGCAUGGCCCCUGCGCAAGGAUGACAAAAUAAAAAAUUUGAAAAGAACUUU
ensembl:snRNA U6 U6 spliceosomal RNA